CCCUUCUCUUCGUUUACUUGCUUGCGCCGGAUCGCCGGACGCAGAUGCAGAGGGAUGAUGGCGAGCGGUAGAUUGAAAAUAGAGAAGGAGACAAGAUCCUUAGGAUACUUGUUCAGAUCCUAGGUCUUGCUUUUGAAAGGCGUUGCGUUCUUAGGAACUUGUACCCCAAUGGACGUGUCAACAAAAGCAUAGAUAAGCAAAUUUACACUGUGCAAUGCAGGCCUCUGCUUCCUUUCUCUGGGUAACGGCUACAUAUAUGUACUUGUAGUGGUUACAGUUCUGCAUGUAUCAUUGUCCUCAAAAUCUCUCUCUAGAGUAGAGGUGUCAAUUGGACAGUAUUUCUUCCAAUCCGAUCCUGCCAGCACUGGUCCAUUUACAAAUGAAUUGGACCAAUUUAAUACAUACCGGAUGCAGUUUAAUCCAGUUGAAAUGCAAAUUAACUGGAUUGGACUCAAUCCGGUCCAAACUAAACGAUGCUUCAAAAAUUUUUUGAAACCUGAAAAUAUAAAGAAUUUGCAGAUAUAUUUGACAAAAAUAUAAAUAAUGACUUAGGCCCUAUUUGGCUUGCAAGAAUAGGGGUUUGGAAUCAGAAUCGGAAUGGGUUAUUCCGAUUUCAACUGUUUGGUUGGAUGGAAUCGAAAUCUCAUUGCCAUUCCCCCAUUUGAGGGAGGGAAUGGCAAUUCCUUUUUCCUCCCUUGGGAAUGAAAUCCCAUUCCUGCAGAUCUUAAUUUUCAUUCCCGUUCCUGUUUCAACCAAACAGACUAUAGGAAUGGACCAUUUGGAUUUUGAUUCGGAUUCUGGUUUUAACUAUAAACCAAAAAGACCCUUAUUUUUCUAUUGCCGUCUCUGAAUUCCAACCAAGGAAGGUAGAGGUAGGCCUAUGUGAUAGAAUAUCUAUCUGGGGUUCCCAUUUUCACACUAAGAGUCUUUUGUUUUGCGCUAUUAUUCAAAUCCCACCUGUCUACAAGUCAUCUACCCUGAAUUCAAAGUUUAACUCAAGUCCCACUAGACUUACCCAUAUGAAAUUCCUACUGUUUGCCUCCCGAGUGAUAGUUAAUUCUGUCAUUUCUGAUGCAGAGAUUGUGUCCUGAGAACUGAGGCAUACUUAAAGAACAAAAUCCAGAGGUUGCGUAUUGAGCCACUUGAUGCAUUGAUUCAGGGUUGUCCUGGUAUCUUCGUCCACGUAGGUUUUGUUGGCCAAUGAAGAGGUGGUAGACUAAUCUUGUUGAUGUUCUCUGUCGUGUUAAAUAAAAGCCCAACGGAUAUCAUCUAUAUACGAACCUAUGUUUGUGUGAAUCUAGAUCAAGGAUCAAUCCCUUGGAGCUGGGUGCAACGGAUUAUUGAGGGUGUGUAGAUGGAGAAGUGGCCAUGCCAUAAGCAUCGCCACUCGCCAGUGCUGAAGGUGGAAUGAAAUGUAUUUAGGGCGUCCGCGACCUUGGCCCACCCUCCAAAAAGGAGGAUGAC